AAUUCGAUGCAACGACGAAGAACCUUACCUAGACUUGACAGUCCGGAAUCCUUAGGAACUAAGGAGUGCCUUCGGGAGCCCGGAGACAGGUGCUGCAUGGCUGUCGUCAGCUCGUGUCGUGAGAUGUUGGUAAGUCCCGCAACGAGCGCAACCCUUGUCAUUAGUUGCUACAUUCAGUUGGGCACUCUAAUGAGACUGCCGGUGACAAACCGGAGGAAGGUGGGGAUGACGUCAAGUCCUCAUGGCCCUUAUAGGUGGGGCUACACACGUCAUACAAUGGAUGGUACAAAGGGUCGCCAACCCGCGAGGGGGAGCCAAUCCCAUAAAGCCAUUCGUAGUCCGGAUCGCAGUCUGCAACUCGACUGCGUGAAGUCGGAAUCGCUAGUAAUCGUGGAUCAGAAUGUCACGGUGAAUACGUUCCCGGGUCUU
rnacentral:rRNA from 1 species